GUCUUCGAGGAUCAAUGGUGAUCGUCUCGUUCACCUGUGGAUCCAAUGUUAUAAAAGUUCGACGCGGGAAGGCGAGGGUUCGAGUCCCUCUGGAGGCG